CAGUCAGGUGUCAAAAGGGCGGAUGUCAAGGACCUAGCGCUGUUAAUUACAUUAGCAUUUCCUACCCACGGCGCUGCGCGGUCGGCCCGAGAACACGUCGCUGUCACGCUUACGGAGGUGCUCAAAGGAGCUAGUCACCGGCUUUGUGCGACACUGGGCCAAUUUAAGGUGGCCGACUGCAGAAUAGUGACAACAUGAUGGAUGCCCUGCGGUUCAAACAGUCCGUGCUUCCCGGAUCUGUGCAGUGGAAAACUUUUUGCCAAUCGUGGAAAAAAACAAAACAAACAGACCCUAAAGCAGGCACAUUCAUCACUAAUACAUUCACUUGGAAAAUUGAGCCCCAAAAGUGUCAAAAUACAACGGCGCUAAUACUGCGCUCGAGCUAUAAAAUGGCAGAGCGCCACGACAGGAUGUACAUAAUUGGCCUAUUAGCAUGUGCCCGCCACUUCACAACCCAAGUCGGUGCACGGUUCCAGACGCCCUACAUUUUAAUGUUGACUCUGGAAGUGCGUGCACGUGCGUGUUAAUGUGUGUGAGAGGGUGAGCCUCCGACGGGGUCUCAGGAAGCCGAGUGAAAACAGGACACGCUGCCCAACCGGUUCAGAAACCGAGAAGGGAAUUUAACACGUUUUUGAGUUGAUCAUUAACAGCCUUGUAGUGUGUCGACGCCUCGGCUUUGGGGUGGCUGAAUUCUCCUUUGCCAUGGAAACUCAGGGUACAAUUACACCACAGCCACCUAGGCAAAAAAUAUGUGUGUGUGUUUUUUUUAAUGGAAGCAGUAUAUAAAAUGGAUGGAUGGUCUCACAUACCGAAGGCAGAAACAUAAACGCUACAUCGCUCGGUUGUAUUAAGAUUAAAAAAAAAAAAAAAAAAAAAAGCCCAUCACAAUGAUAGAUCAAAAUGAUCAUAGUUAUCAUUAUAAUAAGGCUAUUGGAAAUGUAUCUGUCAAAUAAUUAAAUAAAGGACCGAGGACCAGGGUUCAUAUCCUGGUCCCGUCUUGUUUAUCUGUGCCCUGCGAUUGGCUGGCGACCAGUACAGGGUGUACCCCGCCUUUCUCCCAAAGAUAGCUGGGAUAGACUCCAGCACGCCCGCGACCCCAGUGAGGAUAAGUGGUACAGAAAAUGCAUAGAUGGAUAAAUGAAUAAACCAAUGAGGGCAUCUGAUGUUUGAUUUUGAAUCUAUAAAAGUGGAAAAAGCAACCCAAUGCAGCACCAGAUUGAGUUUUCAUGCAUGCGAGAACCCAUGGAAUGUAUUCAAAUAUGACAAACAACACAGUAAUGUAUUUAACUGGCAGCACUGGUGUACAAUCUGGGUGGCGUUUGACGUGUUGCCACCCACCCUUGGCGUUCCCUGCAUACAGUACAGUGUAAUUAUCGUGAAUUAUUGUGUUGUUGCUCCCAGACCAAGUUUUGUUCUGUAUGUGUGCAAUUUAAACGGAGCGAGCUGAAAUGGAUUACUUGAAAUUACAGUACUUCACAAACGUAGUUGAUUCGCACUCAAUGGUUGGCUUAUGCCACAAGUGCCCUCAAAACAUAAAUCAGUUUUUAUGUUUCGGUAUUGGUUGAUACACAAGAAGGUAGGGGCUUAAAUGACAAAUACCACUAAUAUUCAACAUAGAAAUGAUAUUUUUAUGUUGAAUAUUAGUAGUAUUUGUGUAUUUCCAAAUCAUUAUUAAAAAUAGAAAUAACAAUAAAGCACCGUUAUUUCUCAAAAUUUUUGGUAUACAAGAAGUGAAUUCAAUUUAAUAUUCCACAUUGUAAACUGAAAUUUAUGAAAAGUCUACAUUAAAGCAAAUCAUAUUGCCAGAUGGUUUCUAUGACACGUAGCUGGGAGGGGUUGUCUAAUAAAUAUGUGAAGCACUCUACAAGCUCAUAGAAGGAAAUAAAAUAUCAUAUUUACGGGCGCUAAAUUAAAAUUGGGAGGUGCUGUGUAAAACCAGCCUGAUUGUACAAAGACAGAAGCACAAAUCAUGUAUCUGCAGCAGAAUGUCAUUUUACGGGAAGUUUACAUAUAAUACAAAUAAUUAUAAUUCGUUAUUAACAUGAAAAAAGGCCAUUACUAUUGUCUUUAAUAGCGCUUUAUGUUGACUUGAAAUCCAACUCCACUAGAGGUCCCUGUGGCUCAGAAACAGCUCCUCAGUCGGGCUCCUCCAUCCAAACGUGCCCCGCAAAGCCAUUAAAAGCGUUUCCUCGAGACAACAAAAACAGAGCCCCGAUGAUGAGGAAGCCUGCGUUUUUGUAAAGCGCCAUUAAGGAAGAGCGCGUUUUUUUGCUUGAAAGGAUAUUUUGUUCUUAUUGAGCGUUAAGGUGUGCAGGUUAGGUAACCUGGGCAACCGGAGGUCAUUCCCAAGCAGAUUGUUGUCGACGACCAGCUCUUCCAGCUCAGUGAACGUUUUGAGGCCUGCCAGGGUCCUGCAACGAUAAGGCCGGAGGAAAAAGACGGGUUACGGUCAGAGAUAAAUAUUUCACAUGCUGAAAGAGUUUAUGUCCGGGCCUGUCAGUGCAGAGGGGGGUGAAUGACAAGAAUUAGUGGCGCUGAGCUCCCCCUGGCAUGGCGAGGCAUCCUUCAGAGGCUGGCAGGAUGAGGGAUGGGGGUCACUUGUGAGUAGCCAGGAUUCAAAACAAAAGGCUUCAGAAAUGCGGCGGGCAGGAUGAAUUUGUCAAUGUCUUGUGCCUUGAGGCGCCCAGUUUCGCCUGACCCCAACCCUCCAUUCCCAAGACAAAUCACUCUGUCACAGUUCACCUUCACUCCCCAGACACAAAUUUAACUUGUCAUCCAUCAUUUUCACACAGGAAGCGGAACACGCUUGCUCGCUCGCCACCGCGCAUGGAAGGCAAACUUUUCUCUUCAGAGGCUUAAAAACCUUAAAGAGACAGUGCGCGUUUCCCUUUGACCUGGCCAACCCCUGCCCGCACGCACUAACACAUUCACAGCCUUAUCAUAAAAAUGAUGAAGGGUGGUGUCAGGAGUAAUAUUAGGACCGUGCAAAGUUCAAGCUGUAAAAGGCGCACAAUGGCGGCGUGUCCUGUCCGGUGCUUCAACACCGCGUCCGAGGUGACUUUAUCGGCAUUUAAAUCAAACGAAGGCACGAAACCUCUCAAUAGAUUUUCCAAUCCAAAGAGCAUUCCUAAUGGCAUUUUUAUUCAUCAAGGACGUCGAUAACUGCAGCCGUCGGAGCUUCCGCUUUACAAAAGCGCAUCUAUGUUCUCUGACAGCUCACGCAAAGGCACAGCGACGUCUAAACACAUGCGGCGUUAACCAAUUCGGACUCGCGUCAAUAGGAGGACUUUUAUCGGGAUAAUCUGCAAAUGGAAGGCAGGAAGCACUACAGAGGGCAACAUUCAUCGUGGAAAAAGAAAGCAACACAUUGGCAAAGCCAGAAUAAAAAAAAAAAAAUGCUGCGGUGUCCACUCGGGACUGUGAAAAUGCUGACGUAAAUGAAUUGACUUAACAAUUCCAAAAGAGUAUUUAUGUUAUUAAGUUAAUAAUUGUACUGUAUAAUUUCCAAUCAACUUUUAAUAUGUUCUUGCAACCCCAGGCCAAAAGUAGUAUGUCUAAUUUGAAGAAGAAAACUUUACAUUUAUCAUGAACAGGGGCAAAAAGAAGGAAAUAAAAAAGGUUUUCCACCA